rnacentral:lncRNA from 1 species
GGAAGAAUACUCCAGGUGGUGGAAUAGCAAAUAGAAAGGCCCCCAAACAGGAACAUGCUGGGCCUUUUCGAGGAAGGUCCUAGAAAUUGAGAAAAGCAGAACUAGGUGAUGGAGGACCUAGGUAAGGAAUUUGGAUUUCAUUCUAUGAGCUGUGGGCAGCCUUUGGACAGCCAGUGCUCUAGAAGUCUAGGGAAGGAGAGAGCAUGGGACAUCAGAGGCCUCACAGCUGACUUUAAGAUGGGCCUGGAAGUAUCCAGUGGGCAGAGUUCAGCAUAGAAAGAAGGCCAGUGGCAGCCACUGCAGGGCCCCAGGCAUGGAGCUAGGAAAGGUAACCUGUCUGAGGGCCUUUGACAGACCAGUGCUGCCUGGAGCUGGAGUUCUCUGAGGGAGAGUGCUGGGGAUGAGGUUGCAAAGGUACCUUUGCCUGAAGCAUGGAGAGCCUUGAAGCCAGGCCAGGGGAAUUUGAUAUUUACUAAUGUGAAUACCUGAGUGCCCUGAGAAUAGUGGGGACUCCAAAAUUUCUGUCUAGGAGCAAUUUAAGGAUAGCUCUCAGGUGGAGGGUAGGGGUGAUGGAAGGGGUAGAGGAUCUGUCUUAGAGCUAGCAAGCAAAAGAUUUUACCUAGGUUGUGUAUUUACUUGAGGGUGGUUUUGGGAAAGGGCAGUGGUAAAGUUUUGAGGUCUUGCCCUAAAGCUACACUGCAUAGCAAACACACUGUUUUUACUUGGAUGGUAUCCUAUUUGGGGUUACUAAGGGGAUGGGGAUCAAUGAAAAUUAUGGGGCAUUAAUCCUUGGCUCUGUCCUGGGAGAAUGAAAAUUACAUAAUGAAAGGUGUGAUUUAGAAAGGUGGUCAAGAGUGAGUGUGGGGAGGCAUUCACUCAUUCAUCCAUUCAUCCACUUAGCAAUUGUUUAUGAAUACUCCAAUGUGCCAAGUGGCAGAAUGGAACUUGUAUAUUCCUGUGUUCACACUCUGUUCCUACCACUUACUACUUGUGUCAUCUUGGGCAGCUUUUAUUUAAUCUCUUAGAACCUCAGUUUCCUUGUCUAUAGAAUAAUAAUACCAGCAGUCCCCUCUUAUCUGUGUGGGAUAUGUUCCAAGAUGCCCACUGGAUGCCAAAAACCAUGGAUAACACUGAGCCCUAUAUUUACUAUGUUUCCUACACAUGUGUACCUAUGACAACAAUAAUAACUAGUAAGAUAGGACAAUUAUAUUAAUAUACCGUAAUAAAAGUCGUGUGAAUACAGUCAUGAUCCCUCUCUCUCAAAAGAUUGUUAUACUGUACCACAUGUAACUGAAACAGUAGAAAGUGAAACUGUGGAUAAAGGGGGACUGUUGUAACAUGCCUACCCUAGUGGUGCUUGUGAUUAGAGAGAAUGUGCAUACAGUGUCCAACCCAGUGCUUGGCACCUAGUAGGUGCUCAAUAAAUGGUGGCGCCUACUGGGUUGCAGUAGAUGGAGAGUACUGUAGGCAGAAAGUUGUUACUGUGGCAGCACAGAUUUCCCACAGUAAGGGCCUUCAUUAGGGCAAGGGUGAGGUUUGUAGGGCAGGAGAUAGUUUUGAGAGGCUUGGAAGAACAUCUUGAAUAGGACUUGGGUCCUGAAGGAUAAGAUGAUAAUGUGAAGAUAAUAUGAAGGUCUUCAGCAGAGAAAAUGUGGAACUAGAUGCCCAAACAAGAAGGAAAAUUGGGAAGAAAGUAGACUGGGGAAGGAGUCACACUUUAGGUUGAAUCUGGGGCAGCAGCCAAGUGGAGAGAGUCUCUAGAUUUGGAGAAUACAGUGGUUUGCAGGAGUGAGACCUGGGCUAAGCAGACACAUUGAUUUUAAUAUCACUGUGAUGGCAUACUAGUCAGGAUACAAACUUGGUUGCU